rnacentral:rRNA from 1 species
CAGUAGCCGCGGUAAUACGUAGGUGGCAAGCGUUGUCCGGAAUUAUUGGGCGUAACGGGCUCGCAGGCGGUUUCUUAAGUCUGAUGUGAAAGCCCCCGGCUCAACCGGGGAGGGUCAUUGGAAACUGGGAAACUUGAGUGCAGAAGAGGAGAGUGGAAUUCCACGUGUAGCGGUGAAAUGCGUAGAGAUGUGGAGGAACACCAGUGGCGAAGGCGACUCUCUGGUCUGUAACUGACGCUGAGGAGCGAAAGCGUGGGGAGCGAACAGGAUUAGAUACCCCUGUAGUCCCUGUCUCUUAUAU